rnacentral:lncRNA from 1 species
AGCUUCUGAGCUCUUUUGUGGCAAUGUGGCGGGUUGUAAGUAAAGCAAAUGCCACUUUAAAGCUAAUCAUGCUCGGUAUAACUUUUACAUACCAUCAUAAAGAGUUAUUUGCUUACAUAUUCAGCUCUUGCUCUACACUAGGAGUUCUUCGAAGGCAGGGACUAUUUGUUAUUUAUUUCUUCAUCAUCUCCAGCACAGGGCCUGACAGGUGCUUAGUGACUGUUUAUUGAAUGAGUGUUUGCAGAAAAAAUAAAU